rnacentral:rRNA from 1 species
CCUACGGGGUGCAGCAGUGGGGAAUAUUGGACAAUGGGCGAAAGCCUGAUCCAGCCAUGCCGCGUGUGUGAAGAAGGCCUUCGGGUUGUAAAGCACUUUCAGUGGGGAAGAAAGCCUUGGGGCUAAUACCCUCGAGGAAGGACAUCACCCACAGAAGAAGCACCGGCUAACUCCGUGCCAGCAGCCGCGGUAAUACGGAGGGUGCGAGCGUUAAUCGGAAUUACUGGGCGUAAAGCGCGCGUAGGCGGUCUGAUAAGCCGGUUGUGAAAGCCCCGGGCUCAACCUGGGAACGGCAUCCGGAACUGUCAGGCUAGAGUGCAGGAGAGGAAGGUAGAAUUCCCGGUGUAGCGGUGAAAUGCGUAGAGAUCGGGAGGAAUACCAGUGGCGAAGGCGGCCUUCUGGACUAACACUGACGCUGAGGUGCGAAAGCGUGGGUAGCAAACAGGAUUAGAUACCCUUGUAGUC